AGUGAGCGCUGGCGGUAGGCCUAACACAUGCAAGUCGAACGGCAGCACAGUAAGAGCUUGCUCUUACGGGUGGCGAGUGGCGGACGGGUGAGGAAUACAUCGGAAUCUACUUUUUCGUGGGGGAUAACGUAGGGAAACUUACGCUAAUACCGCAUACGACCUACGGGUGAAAGCAGGGGAUCUUCGGACCUUGCGCGAUUGAAUGAGCCGAUGUCGGAUCAGCUAGUUGGCGGGGUAAAGGCCCACCAAGGCGACGAUCCGUAGCUGGUCUGAGAGGAUGAUCAGCCACACUGGAACUGAGACACGGUCCAGACUCCUACGGGAGGCAGCAGUGGGGAAUAUUGGACAAUGGGCGCAAGCCUGAUCCAGCCAUACCGCGUGGGUGAAGAAGGCCUUCGGGUUGUAAAGCCCUUUUGUUGGGAAAGAAAAGCAGCAGGUUAAUACCCCGCUGUUCUGACGGUACCCAAAGAAUAAGCACCGGCUAACUUCGUG
rnacentral:rRNA from 1 species